UGGGUGCAUACAGUGGGCUUUUGGAAGAACAUAAAGUUCAGCUCUGCACAGUGGUGCUUCUGAAAAUGAUUAAUCAUUUGUUAAUCGGACCAAGAGAGAAAAAUAGAAAAACUGAGACAAGAUUUUUGAAGAUAUUUUGUAACAUCUAAGUAAAGGAGAUUAUGUUCGAUAAUACAGAUAGGCUUCAGCUAAAAAGUGGAAGGCCUAAAGAGAAAAGAGAGAUUUCCUGGAGAAGAAAUUCAGCCUAAAGUCUUGCCUGAGUCCUAGCCAGCCAGCCUAUCACACAAAUGUCAGAAGAAAGCCUGAAGCAUCUCCGGGCACAGUUGGCACAUGCCUGUGAU